UGGCUGUGAUGGCUUUUAGCGGAAGCGCGCUGUUCGCGUACCUGCUGUUUGUUGAAAAUUUAAGAGCAAAGUGUCCGGCUCGAUCCCUGCGAAUUGAAUUCUGAACGCUAGAGUAAUCAGUGUCUUUCAAGUUCUGGUAAUGUUUAGCAUAACCACUGGAGGGAAGCAAUUCAGCACAGUAAUGCUAAUCGUGGUGGAGGCGAAUCCGGAUGGCACCUUGUUUGUUGAUAAAUAGUGCGGUAUCUAGUGUUGCAACUCUAUUUUU
rfam:Candida albicans SC5314 chromosome R sequence.